ensembl:lncRNA
AGGAGACAUGUUUAUCUUGUCACAAAGAACAAGGUUUAUUACACCGCUAUUAUCGCGAGGUUUGGGGCGUGACAAUAUAGACUGUGAGCCCACGUUUAAUAAUCACGCUAAGGAGUUCAGCGAGCUAUCUGCAAAGGCCUGAUUAGUCUACCAGCUGUACAAGAAUGCGCAAGACUGUAAAGGUAUUCUUCUAGAACCUCCGAAGUGGCAGGCGGCCACGAGUUUUCACGGCGUUCAAUAAAUGCAGCGAAGCGCCCGUCUUGAAGAAGCCGUGCCUGUGUUGUCAUUUCGGAGUUACAAUUUUUAUGAUGUUGUUGCAAAGUAUGCGUCUGUAGAGCUAAAUCAUGAUGAUUGUUCCAAACUAAGAAAAUGAAACGAUGGACAGAAAAUUCAGCAGCAGCUACUAAAUCACCAAAGUGUUUCCAGUUGCCCUCCUGUGAUGGCUGCAGUUACAGCCACACAGUUGUAAAAUCAGUGAAGAGUUGGUUAUGUUAGUUUCAGUCAGUUUUUUGUGUGUUUUACCCUUUUUGUGUUUUUGUGGGCUGAUCAGCCACUAUUUAUAUUCCCCUUUGUGUCUUAGUUAG